GACGAACGCUGGCGGCGUGCCUAAUACAUGCAAGUCGAACGCAGUGGGGACGGGUGAGUAACACGUGGGUCACCUCCCAUCAGAGGGGAUAACACUUGGAAACUGGUGCUAACCCGAUCUUGAUGGAUGGACCCGCGGUGCAUUAGCUAGUGGGUGAGGUAACGGCUCACCAAGGCCACGAUGCAUUGCUGACAUGGUAGGGUGCUCGGCAACUCUGGGCCUGAGACACGGCCCAGACUCCUACGGAAGGAAGCAGUAGGGAAUCUUCGGAAAUGGACGAAAGUCGGACCGAGAAAGGCGGCGUGAGUGAAGAAGGUUUGCGGAUCUUAAAACUCUGUUGUUAGAGAAGCGGUAUCUAACCAGAAAGCGACGGCUAACUACGUGCCAGCAGCCGCGGUAAUUC
rnacentral:rRNA from 1 species